rnacentral:rRNA from 1 species
AAUUCGCCCUUGGGAAUUUUCCGCAAUGGGCGAAAGCCUGACGGAGCAACNCCGCGUGAGGNAGNAAGGUCUUUGGAUUGUAAACCUCUUUUCUCAAGNAAGAAGUUCUGACGGUACUUGAGGAAUCAGCCUCGGCUAACUCCGUGCCAGCAGCCGCGGUAAUACGGGGGAGGCAAGCGUUAUCCGGAAUUAUUGGGCGUAAAGCGUCCGCAGGUGGUCAGCCAAGUCUGCCGUCAAAUCAGGUUGCUUAACGACCUAAAGGCGGUGGAAACUGGCAGACUAGAGAGCAGUAGGGGUAGCAGGAAUUCCCAGUGUAGCGGUGAAAUGCGUAGAGAUUGGGAAGAACAUCGGUGGCGAAAGCGUGCUACUGGGCUGUAUCUGACACUCAGGGACGAAAGCUAGGGGAGCGAAAGGGAUUAGAUACCCCUGUAGUCCUAGCCGUAAACGAUGGAUACUAGGCGUGGCUUGUAUCGACCCGAGCCGUGCCGAAGCUAACGCGUUAAGUAUCCCGCCUGGGGAGUACGCACGCAAGUGUGAAACUCAAAGGAAUUGACGGGGGCCCGCACAAGCGGUGGAGUAUGUGGUUUAAUUCGAUGCAACGCGAGGAACCUUACCAAGACUUGACAUGUCGCGAACCCUGGUGAAAGCUGGGGGUGCCUUCGGGAGCGCGAACACAGGUGGUGCAUGGCUGUCGUCAGCUCGUGUCGUGGAU